AGCACCACAACAAGAAAAGAAAUUGCCUCCAUCAGUAAGUGGCAGAAGCAGGAUUCAAACCCAGGCCGCUGUCAAGAUGGAGUUUCCAGCCCAGUGAAUCUGAAGACCAGACUGUGACCCCAUAAAGCAUCUGUACCUGGAAGGCCCAAAGGCCAGCAGUAGAAGCCAGAAAACCUGGGCUGGUGAGCUGAAGGAUUUAUACCAGGCUGAGGGAUUGGAGCCAGUAAGUGAUGCUCACGGUGAAGACCUGAGCUCUCCUGAUGAGAACAGCAGCCACUCCUGGUGACAGCAAGGCCCUGAGCUCCUUCGACAAGAGAAUAGCCAAGUUCGAAUCAGG
rnacentral:lncRNA from 1 species